GACGAACGCUGGCGGCGUGCCUAAUACAUGCAAGUAGAACGCACAGUUUGUACCUUAGCUUGCUACACCAUAGACAGUGAGUUGCGAACGCGUGAGUAACGCGUAGGUAACCUGCCUGACAGCGGGGGAUAACUAUUGAUAACGCUAGCUAAUACCGCAUAAUAUUAAUUAUUGCUUGAUAAUUAAUUUAAAGGUGCAAUUGCACCACUACCAGCUGGACCUUCGUUGUAUUAGCUAGUAGGGGAGGUAACGGCUCCCCUAGGCGAAGGUACAUAGCCGAGCUGGGAGGGUGGUCGGCCACAAUGGGACUGGGACAACGCCCAGACUCCUACGGGAGGCAGCAGUAGGGAAACUUCGGCAAUGGACGAAAGUCUGACUGAGCCACGCCGCGUGGGGGAAGAAGGUUUUCGGAUCGUAAAGGUCCGUUGUAAGGGGAGAACGGGUGUGAGGGUGGAAAGUUCCUACUGUGACGGUAUCUUACGAGAAAGCGACGGCUAACUACGUG
rnacentral:rRNA from 1 species